AUGUGCAUUCCGUGGUUUGAAUGGAGAAGUUUGUGUUUGAGGCGAGUAGAGCUUUACCAACUUAAUAACAGAGGGUGGUGCUUGCAGUUUCUGUGGGUGCUGAUUGUUCCCCAGUCUCAGUUUCUUGGAAUGUCGGUUCAAGAAGGGACAUCAUCGUGUGGCUUGCGUGACCAUAGGGCUCUUGACCAAGCCGAGCGAAUUAAUUUUCACAGCUCACCAGUAUUGCAAUUUUAUGGUGUGAGUGUCUCUUCCAUAGGGCAUCUGAACCAUUGUGUUGAUUGCCAUGUUGUCAGUUGUCAUUUUACAGUCCUAGAAGUUUUGCUUGAAAAAUCUCAGAAUAUCAGAAUUCCAGCAUUUCAAAAGCUAAACAACACGAUGUUCCUAAAAAGAUGUUGUUUUGCUUGCAGAAUAUAA
rnacentral:rRNA from 1 species